UACAGAGGGUGCGAGCGUUGUCCGGAAUCACUGGGCGUAAAGGGCGCGUAGGCGGCCUGAUAAGUAGGGGGUGAAAUCUUGCGGCUCAACCGCAAGGCUGCCUUCUAAACUGUCAGGCUGGAGCACGGUAGAGGCAGAUGGAAUUCCCGGUGUAGCGGUGAAAUGCGCAGAUAUCAGGAGGAACACCGGUGGCGAAGGCGGUUCUCUGGGCAUGAUCUGACGCUGAGGAGCGAAAGUGUGGGGAGCGAACAGG
rnacentral:rRNA from 1 species